rnacentral:rRNA from 1 species
AACGAACGCUGGCGGCAUGCCUAACACAUGCAAGUCGAACGAGACCUUCGGGUCUAGUGGCGCACGGGUGCGUAACGCGUGGGAACCUGCCCUUAGGUUCGGAAUAACUCCCCGAAAGGGGUGCUAAUACCGGAUAAUGUCUUCGGACCAAAGAUUUAUCGCCUUUGGAUGGGCCCGCGUUGGAUUAGCUAGUUGGUAGGGUAAAAGCCUACCAAGGCGACGAUCCAUAGCUGGUCUGAGAGGAUGAUCAGCCACACUGGGACUGAGACACGGCCCAGACUCCUACGAGAGGCAGCAGUGGGGAAUAUUGGACAAUGGGCGAAGGCCUGAUCCAGCAAUGCCGCGUGAGUGAUGAAGGCCUUAGGGUUGUAAAGCUCUUUUACCCGGGAUGAUAAUGACAGUACCGGGAGAAUAAGCUCCGGCUAACUCCGUG